rnacentral:lncRNA from 1 species
GCCCUCCCACGAAACCUAAAAAAAAAAAAAAACAAAAAACCAAAAAAAAAAGUUCAUCAGUUCUUUAAUACACUCAUAACUAGAACCGCUGCUACCCACAAUUAAGAAAAUCAUUUAAGCGCUUAAAGAUAACAAAUCAAAAAUAAACCCCCCUUCAGCCAUAAUCGUCGUACAAUAUGAUCAUGACAAAUGUAAUACUAACUUCAUUUUCUAUCUGGGUCAGAUUAUAUUGUCGUCAAAGAGACUAAAAUAUUGCGAAAAAUAGAAAUAAUUGUGCAUAAAACAGAGAUCGCAUAAAUAUCUAUAGAAAAUAAAAGCAAGAACAAGAAAUUACAAAAACCAAUUGAGCGAUAUGAUCAAAUCAAAAUCGAGAAUAUUGAUCGAGAAUAGAAAAAGGGUGGAGAAUAAAAGUACCUUUAGGAUUGAAGGUGGAAAUUGAAAAAUCUUGGAGAGGAAGAAUUUACUAUUCACUUUGCGUGUUUUUGACUUUUGAUUUUGAGGCGACUAGACUAAUAGCUGAUCAACUCCAUUACACAACCGGGAUGAGCAGCUUUAUUCAGCCGAUUCGCUAGAGUGCAGGCAGGCCCCGGUCAAGAAAAAUGAAAAUAAAAAUAAAAAUAAAAAUAAAAAUAAAAAUUGUAGUAUUAUGGGAUAUUACGGGAUCAAGUGUGUGAUAUCCAAGUGCAGCGCUGUUGAUGGAAUUUUGAUCUUACGCGUGUCCUCAAUUUGAAUAUUUUUUGUCAUUU